rnacentral:rRNA from 1 species
AGAGUUUGAUCCUGGCUCAGAACGAACGCUGGCGGCAGGCCUAAAACAUGCAAGUCGAACGAACCUUCGGGUUAGUGGCGCACGGGUGAGUAACACGUGGGAAUGUACCUCUGGGUGCGGAACAACGUCGGGAAACUGACGCUAAUACCGCAUAAUAUCUUCGGAUCAAAGAUUUAUCGCCCAGGGAUCAGCCCGCGCUAGAUUAGGUAGUUGGUGAGGUAAGAGCUCACCAAGCCUACGAUCUAUAGCUGGUCUGAGAGGAUGAUCAGCCACACUGGAACUGAGACACGGUCCAGACUCCUACGGGAGGCAGCAGUUAGGAAUAUUGGACAAUGGGGGAAACCCUGAUCCAGCCAUGCCGCGUGUGUGAAGAAGGCCUUAGGGUUGUAAAGCACUUUCGUCUGUGAAGAUAAUGACAGUAGCAGAAGAAGAAGCUCCGGCUAAAUUCGUGCCAGCAGCCGCGGUAAUACGAAUGGAGCGAGCGUUGUUCGGAAUCACUGGGCGUAAAGCGUGCGCAGGCGGUUUUGAAAGUUAGAAGUGAAAGCCCAGGGCUUAACCUUGGAAUUGCUUUUAAAACUUCAAGACUAGAGUACUGGAGGGGUUGGCGGAAUUUCGAGUGUAGCAGUGAAAUGCGUAGAUAUUCGAAGGAACACCGAUGGCGUAGGCAGCCAACUGGACAGUUACUGACGCUCAUGCACGAAAGCGUGGGGAUCAAACAGGAUUAGAUACCCUGGUAGUCCACGCCGUAAACGAUGUGUGCUAGUUGUCGGGCCCUUAGGGUUCGGUGACGCAGCUAACGCUUUAAGCACACCGCCUGGGGAGUACGGUCGCAAGAUUAAAACUCAAAGGAAUUGACGGGGACCCGCACAAGCGGUGGAGCAUGUUGUUUAAUUCGAAGCAACGCGAAGAACCUUACCCACACUUGACAUACCUCUUGGGGCUUUCAGAGAUGAUUGCUUUCGGUUCGGCCGGGGAGGAUACAGGUGCUGCAUGGCUGUCGUCAGCUCGUGUCGUGAGAUGUUGGGUUAAGUCCCGCAACGAGCGCAACCCUUAUCGUAUGUUACCAUCAUUUAGUUGGGGACUCAUGCGAGACUGCCGGUGACAAGCCGGAGGAAGGCGGGGACGACGUCAAGUCAUCAUGGCCCUUACGUGUGGGGCUACAAACGUGCUACAAUGGUGGUUACAGUGGGCAGCGAGGUCGCGAGGCCAAGCUAAUCCCUAAAAGCCAUCUCAGUUCGGAUUGUACUCUGCAACUCGAGUACAUGAAGUUGGAAUCGCUAGUAAUCGUGAAUCAGCAUGUCACGGUGAAUACGUUCCCGGGUCUUGUACACACCGCCCGUCACACCAUGGGAGUUGGUUUUACCCGAAGGCCGUGCGCUAACUACGGAGGCAGCGGACCACGGUAGGAUCAAUGACUGGGGUGAAGUCGAAACAAGGUAGCCGUUUCGGAAGGAGCGGCUG